rnacentral:lncRNA from 1 species
ACAAAUAUAGUUAGAAUUGCUUAAGUUAUAAGGCACCCUUAUGUUACCCGUCUACAAAAGGUCAAUAUAGAGUAACCUUAUAUAGGUCCUGAAAGACCUACUAAAAGAAAGUUGAUUAGCUUCAAAAAAAUGUGUGGUAGACAAAGUCUUGACGUUUCACGAAAGAGGAUAGCUUACAAAUAAUUUAGCAAACACUUGGAGUGUAAAAAAGAGAAAAAAAA